UAGGGAAUCUUCGGCAAUGGGGGCAACCCUGACCGAGCAACGCCGCGUGAGUGAAGAAGGUUUUCGGAUCGUAAAGCUCCGUUGUAAGUCAAGAACGGGUGUGAGAGUGGAAAGUUCACACUGUGACGGUAGCUUACCAGAAAGGGACGGCUAACUACGUGCCAGCAGCCGCGGUAAUACGUAGGUCCCGAGCGUUGUCCGGAUUUAUUGGGCGUAAAGCGAGCGCAGGCGGUUUGAUAAGUCUGAAGUUAAAGGCUGUGGCUCAACCAUAGUUCGCUUUGGAAACUGUCAAACUUGAGUGCAGAAGGGGAGAGUGGAAUUCCAUGUGUAGCGGUGAAAUGCGUAGAUAUAUGGAGGAACACCGGUGGCGAAAGCGGCUCUCUGGUCUGUAACUGACGCUGAGGCUCGAAAGCGUGGGGAGCGAACAGGAUUAGAUACCCUGGUAGUCCACGCCGUAAACGAUGAGUGCUAGGUGUUGGAUCCUUUUCCGGG
rnacentral:rRNA from 1 species